AUAAUAUUUACUAAAUUUGGGCCAGCUUUAGAAUAGUAUCCCACGAUUUCAGGGUUAAAAGUGGUAUGGUUGGAUGGAGCUGGUGCUCCAUUAUUAUUGCCGCCGCCAACUUAUAGUUUAUUUUUCAAUCAGUAGAUAACUACAUUUUUCACACUAAAACAUAACCAAAUCUCCAUUAAAACAUACAACAAAAAAAUUUAAUAUGCAAAUGAGGGCAAAAAGCGCAUGCAUAUAUUGUAAAUACAGUUACAUGCACACAUAAUUACAUACAUAUGUACAUACAUAAAUAUGUGCGACCGCUUGGUCUUUUGAUAAAUAAUUUGUGACAGGUACAUUCUUAGGUGUGUGUAUUCUGAUGCAGUUUGAUACCCUGAAGUCAAAUUUGAAAACAAAAUUUAUCACCACAGAUAUUCUGAUAUUCUGUAAUAUUCUGCAACUUGCUGCUUUAGUGAUCAAAUUGAAAGUUGGUAGUACAGAGCGGGUUCUUGUAUCUGAAAUAAAAAUUUCCAUGAGUGAGUGAAGCAAAAAUUAAGGAUGGCAUAUUUGUGGGUCCGCCAAUUACAGAACUAAUGAUAGAUAAAACAUUUGAAAAAAUGAAAUUGAGAUACGAGCCUGGAGUGCCUGUAAAAGCGUUGUUAAAAAUUUAUUUCACAUUCUAGACUUCCAUCUGGAUUUUUCCCGAAAAUUUAGGGGCCGUAAUUGACGAAGCGGUUCCACCAAGACAUUCCUGCUAUGGAGAAACGGUACCAAAGCAAGUGGAGUGACAGUUUGCUUGCCGAUUACUGCUGGACAUUGUUAAGGGAUAUUCCAAAAACAAAAUAUCGCCGAAAACAUCAACAGUGACAUUUUAAGCAUUUGCCUAUUACAAUAAAUAUCUAACUUACAAUCUUUGUACAUUUUACUUCAUUCUGAGUAUGAAUAAAAAAGAAAUAUAUAUAUUUAUGUUUAAAUAAUUUGGACAA